UACGAAGGGGGCUAGCGUUGUUCGGAAUUACUGGGCGUAAAGCGCACGUAGGCGGAUUGUUUAGUUAGGGGUGAAAUCCCGGGGCUCAACCCCGGAACUGCCUUUAAUACUGGCAAUCUAGAGUCCGAGAGAGGUGAGUGGAAUUCCGAGUGUAGAGGUGAAAUUCGUAGAUAUUCGGAGGAACACCAGUGGCGAAGGCGGCUCACUGGCUCGGUACUGACGCUGAGGUGCGAAAGCGUGGGGAGCAAACAGG
rnacentral:rRNA from 2 species